rnacentral:rRNA from 1 species
UACGAAGGGGGCUAGCGUUGUUCGGAGUUACUGGGCGUAAAGGGCGCGUAGGCGGCCCUCCAAGUCGGGCGUGAAAGCCCACGGCUCAACCGUGGAAUUGCGCUCGAGACUGAAGGGCUCGAGGACGGGAGAGGAUGGUGGAAUUCCCAGUGUAGAGGUGAAAUUCGUAGAUAUUGGGAAGAACACCAGUGGCGAAGGCGGCGAUCUGGGAAGAUACUGACGCUGAGGUGCGAAAGCGUGGGGAGCAAACAGG